GACGAACGCUGGCGGCGGGCUUAACACAUGCAAGUCGAACGGAAAGGCCCUGCUUUUGUGGGGUGCUCGAGUGGCGAACGGGUGAGUAACACGUGAGUAACCUACCCUUGACUUUGGGAUAACUUCAGGAAACUGGGGCUAAUACCGGAUAGGAGCUCCUGCUGCAUGGUGGGGGUUGGAAAGUUUCGGCGGUUGGGGAUGGACUCGCGGCUUAUCAGCUUGUUGGUGGGGUAGUGGCUUACCAAGGCUUUGACGGGUAGCCGGCCUGGGAGGGUGACCGGCCACAUUGGGACUGAGAUACGGCCCAGACUCCUACGGGAGGCAACAGUGGGGAAUAUUGCACAAUGGGCGGAAGCCUGAUGCAGCAACGCCGCGUGCGGGAGGACGGCCUUCGGGUUGUAAACCGCUUUCGCCUGUGACGAAGCGUGAGUGACGGUAAUGGGGAAAGAAGCACCGGCUACCUACUU
rnacentral:rRNA from 1 species